AUGUAUAUCUACAUCGGUAACCCUGGUCUUUGUGGAGAUCCUGUUGGUAGGAACUGCUCAACACAUGACGCAGAGCAAAUUGGCCUUGAAGAUAUAGAUCAUAUGCCAUCUGUUUAUCUUGCCAUGAGCAUUGGAUUUGUGGUUGGUCUGUGGACAGUUUUCUGCACCAUGUUGAUGAAGAGAACCUGGAGGGCUGCCUUCUUCCAGUUCGUUGAUAUGAUGUACGACAUGGUUUAUGUGCAAGUGGCUGUAAGGUGGACUCACAUGAUGGAGAAAACUCAAGAUGGUGCACCAUGA
rnacentral:rRNA from 1 species